GGGUGGAAUGCAAUCUGAUGCAUGGCAGUGGAAGUAAAAAGGUACCUGAGUGGCAGAAGCCUGAGUUUGAGGCUGCCGCACGACAGCGAUCCCGGACGCCAAUGCUUCACCUGGAAUCACUGAAGUUGCAUCAUCUGCUGCUGAGUAAGCCACCUUCAGGUGUGCUCCUGCACUGGGCAAAGAAGCAACCCUGGAGUCUGUUUGGACUUGAAAAUGUUGGCCGUCCAGCGAAGCGUAAUCGUUCCCCUCCUGAUUGUAAGUUACUGCCGCUCCCUGCUGAUACAUCUCACCAUAUUCUGGGCCCCCACCUGAACCAUUUUGUGCAUUCUGAGGAUGAAAAACACCCAAGCACAGAAAUGGGACGACAAUAUGAAAAAAAAAAUAGGCUGUCUCGCUGUAGUACAUUAGUAUUAGUAUUUAAACAGAGUAAGUGUGCAUAUUAAGGAUUUGCAGGCUAUAUAACACACAUGCCAAACCAGAGGAUUUGUAUGUUCCCAGACAGGUGCUUGAAGAAUGUCAUUUUCAGACAA